rnacentral:tRNA from 1 species
AGGGAAAUAGUUCAGUGGCAGGGCAUGCUUAGCAUGCAUGAGGUCCUGGGUUCAAUCCCCAGUAUCUCCA